rnacentral:lncRNA from 1 species
UUUGAAAUUUGUAGUUAAAAAUAUAGGAUUACAACUUUUAAAACAUUUUAAUUAAACCUUUAUUCAAAUAAGUGAAUAUCUCUUUAUUGAAGAAACAUUUAUGUAAACUCUAGCAUUACCCCUCUUAAAUUAAAAAAUUGAAUUUUAUAUUCAUAUAAAAACAGCUGUAUGAUAUAAUUCCAUUCUUCCAAAAUCAUUAUUUAAAGCAUAUUAGUCUGCCAACUGCCAAAUGUUUCACAUGGAAUUGUAUAUAUUAAUACUCUAGUUUUUCAUCUCCCACUCACUUCUCAUUGGACAAUAAUUUAGAUUUUAUUCCUUUUCCUUUUUUCAAAUUACUUUCUCCAAGGCGACCAAUGCCCAUCAUGUAACUAAAUCCCAUGGCAGGUAUUUUUUAGCUGCUAAGCAACAUUCAGU